rnacentral:rRNA from 1 species
AACCUAGCAUUUAUGAGAUUGUGGAACCACCUUACUCCAUCUCGAACUAAGUAGUGAAAAACAAUUUCGAUGAAAAUACUUUUUGCUUGCGCAAACGGGAAGAGAAUUCUAUGCUAGGUA